rnacentral:rRNA from 1 species
UACGGAAGGCAGCAGUGGGGAAUAUUGCACAAUGGGCGAAAGCCUGAUGCAGCUAUGCCGCGUGUAUGAAGAAGGCCUUAGGGUUGUAAAGUACUUUCAUCGGGGAGGAAAAAACAAAACUAAUAAUUUUAUUUCUUGACGUUACCCGAAAAAGAAGCACCGGCUAACUCCGUGCCAGCAGCCGCGGUAAUACGGAGGGUGCUAGCGUUAAUCAGAAUUACUGGGCGUAAAGAGCGCGUAGGCUGAUUAGUAAGUUAAAAGUGAAAUCCCAAAGCUUAACUUGGAAUUGCUUUUUAAAACUGCUAGUCUAGAGAUUGAAAGAGGAUAGAGGAAUUCCUAGUGUAGAGGUGAAAUUCGUAAAUAUUAGGAGGAACACCAGUGGCGAAGGCGUCUAUCUGGUUCAAAUCUGACGCUGAGGGCGCGAAGGCGUGGGGAGCAAACAGGGAUUAGAUACC